CCAGUAUUCUUGCCUGGGAAAUCCCAUGGACCGAGGAACCUGGAUAUCAUGGAAUGUCGACUAGAGACCUCCAGAAAGAAGGGGUACUGGCCUUCAACCAGUUGAAACAUAGAACAAAAGGUCACUCUUUUUGUGAGAAGCGAUUUCUCUGCAGAGCAUCCAGGGUUGCUGGUCUCGUGUUCCAGCUUAUUCUCACACUCUGACGUGUGCGUCUGCCCCAGAAUGGGGAAAAUUCUUCAUGCGAGUGCGCGGAUUCAUCCUGCAAAGCCAUGCUUGACAGCACCUCCUGUGUCCAGAUGUCUCCCAGAUGCUGAACAGAGUGGAGAGCAAGAAAGAGAAAACCCCAGCCUCAUGCAGGCCACAUUCCAAUGAAUGCCUUUGAUUUGUGUUAACAGCAGAGUGAUGUGUUCCCAGUAAACAACAUUUUGCCACCUAUGAGAAAUUAUGUUUUCUACAAAGG
ensembl:lncRNA